rnacentral:rRNA from 1 species
UACGGAGGAUCCAAGCGUUAUCCGGAUUUAUUGGGUUUAAAGGGUGCGUAGGCGGCCUAUUAAGUCAGGGGUGAAAGACGGUAGCUUAACUAUCGCAGUGCCUUUGAUACUGAUGGGCUUGAAUAUACUUGAGGUAGGCAGAAUGUGACAAGUAGCGGUGAAAUGCGUAGAUAUCGUUUGGAACGCCAAUGGUGAAAACAGGUAGCUGGGGAUGCGCUGACGCUGAGACACGAAAGCCAGGGGAGCGAACGGG